rnacentral:rRNA from 1 species
GGAAACCGGUGGUAAUACCUCAUGACCCCACGGAUGUCGCAUGUCAGCCGGGGCAUACGGUUUACCGCCCGGGGAUCGGGAAACGUCCUAUCAGGUAGUUGGUGAACUAACGGCUCACCAAGCCUUAGACGGGGAGCGGGCGUGAGAGCGUGACCCCUCGCAUCGGGACUGAGACACUGCCCGGACUCCUACGGGAGGCUGCAGUAACGAAUAUUCCGCAAUGCGCGAAAGCGCUGACGGAGCAAUGCCGCGUGAAGGAUCGAAGCCCCUCGGGGUGUAAACUUCUGUCAGGGAAUAGGAACAAAAUGACCGUUCCCAAAGGAAGGGCCGGCUAACUUCGUGCCAGCAUCCGCGGUAAUACGAAGGCCCCGAGCGUUGCGCGUAAUCACUGUUCUUAAAGGCUGCGUAGGCGGAACUGUAAGUACGUUGAGAAAUCCCUCGGCUCAACCGGCGAAUUGCUUGGUAUACUGCGGUUCUUGAGGCCAGCAGGGCCAGCCGGAACUCUAGGAGGAGCGUUGAAAUGCAUAGAUAUCUAGAGCGACGCCAAAGGUGAAG